UACGGGGGGGGCAAGCGUUGCUCGGAAUUACUGGGCGUAAAGGGCGCGUAGGCGGGAUGGCAAGUCGGUCGUGAAAUCCUUCGGCUCAACCGAAGAACGUCGAUCGAUACUGCUGUUCUUGAGGGUUGCAGAGGAGACUGGAAUUCCCGGUGUAGCGGUGAAAUGUGUAGAGAUCGGGAGGAACACCGGUGGCGAAGGCGGUUCUCUGGGACGGUACUGACGCUGAGACGCGAAAGCGUGGGGAGCGAACAGG
rnacentral:rRNA from 1 species